rnacentral:rRNA from 1 species
AGAACGAACGCUGGCGGCAGGCCUCAAACAUGCAAGUCUAGGGGAUGUAGCAAUACAUCACCGGCGGACGGGUGCGUAACACGUGGGAAUAUACCUUUCGGUACGGAACAACUGCGGGAAACUGCAGCUAAUACCGUAUACGUCCUUACGGAGAAAGAUUUAUCGCCGAAGGAUUAGCCCGCGUUCGAUUAGCUAGUUGGUGAGGUAAUGGCUCACCAAGGCGACGAUCGAUAGCUGUUCUGAGAGGAAGAUCAGCCACACUGGGACUGAGACACGGCCCAGACUCCUACGGGGGGCAGCAGUUGGGAAUCUUGGACAAUGGGGGAAACCCUGAUCCAGCCAUGCCGCGUGAGUGGUGAAGGCCUUCGGGUUGUAAAGCUCUUUUACCCGGGAAGAUAAUGACUGUACCGGGAGAAUAAGCUCCGGCUAACUUCGUGCCAGCAGCCGC